UUAAGUUAUUAAGGGCGCACGGUGGAUGCCUUGGCACUAGAAGCCGAUGAAGGACGUUACUAACGACGAUAUGCUUUGGGGAGCUGUAAGUAAGCUUUGAUCCAGAGAUUUCCGAAUGGGGAAACCCAGCAUGAGUUAUGUCAUGUUAUCGAUAUGUGAAUACAUAGCAUAUCAGAAGGCACACCCGGAGAACUGAAACAUCUUAGUACCCGGAGGAAGAGAAAGAAAAUUCGAUUCCCUUAGUAGCGGCGAGCGAAACGGGAAGAGCCCAAACCAACAAGCUUGCUUGUUGGGGUUGUAGGACACUCUAUACGGAGUUACAAAGGACGACAUUAGACGAAUCAUCUGGAAAGAUGAAUCAAAGAAGGUAAUAAUCCUGUAGUCGAAAAUGUUGUCUCUCUUGAGUGGAUCCUGAGUACGACGGAGCACGUGAAAUUCCGUCGGAAUCUGGGAGGACCAUCUCCUAAGGCUAAAUACUCUCUAGUGACCGAUAGUGAACCAGUACCGUGAGGGAAAGGUGAAAAGCACCCCGGAAGGGGAGUGAAAUAGAACCUGAAACCGUGUGCUUACAAGUAGUCAGAGCCCGUUAAUGGGUGAUGGCGUGCCUUUUGUAGAAUGAACCGGCGAGUUACGAUUUGAUGCAAGGUUAAGCAGUAAAUGUGGAGCCGUAGCGAAAGCGAGUCUGAAUAGGGCGUUUAGUAUUUGGUCGUAGACCCGAAACCAGGUGAUCUACCCUUGGUCAGGUUGAAGUUCAGGUAACACUGAAUGGAGGACCGAACCGACUUACGUUGAAAAGUGAGCGGAUGAACUGAGGGUAGCGGAGAAAUUCCAAUCGAACCUGGAGAUAGCUGGUUCUCUCCGAAAUAGCUUUAGGGCUAGCCUCAAGUGAUGAUUAUUGGAGGUAGAGCACUGUUUGGACGAGGGGCCCCUCUCGGGUUACCGAAUUCAGACAAACUCCGAAUGCCAAUUAAUUUAACUUGGGAGUCAGAACAUGGGUGAUAAGGUCCGUGUUCGAAAGGGAAACAGCCCAGACCACCAGCUAAGGUCCCAAAAUAUAUGUUAAGUGGAAAAGGAUGUGGCGUUGCCCAGACAACUAGGAUGUUGGCUUAGAAGCAGCCAUCAUUUAAAGAGUGCGUAAUAGCUCACUAGUCGAGUGACACUGCGCCGAAAAUGUACCGGGGCUAAACAUAUUACCGAAGCUGUGGAUUGUCCUUUGGACAAUGGUAGGAGAGCGUUCUAAGGGCGUUGAAGCAUGAUCGUAAGGACAUGUGGAGCGCUUAGAAGUGAGAAUGCCGGUGUGAGUAGCGAAAGACGGGUGAGAAUCCCGUCCACCGAUUGACUAAGGUUUCCAGAGGAAGGCUCGUCCGCUCUGGGUUAGUCGGGUCCUAAGCUGAGGCCGACAGGCGUAGGCGAUGGAUAACAGGUUGAUAUUCCUGUACCACCUAUAAUCGUUUUAAUCGAUGGGGGGACGCAGUAGGAUAGGCGAAGCGUGCGAUUGGAUUGCACGUCUAAGCAGUAAGGCUGAGUAUUAGGCAAAUCCGGUACUCGUUAAGGCUGAGCUGUGAUGGGGAGAAGACAUUGUGUCUUCGAGUCGUUGAUUUCACACUGCCGAGAAAAGCCUCUAGAUAGAAAAUAGGUGCCCGUACCGCAAACCGACACAGGUAGUCAAGAUGAGAAUUCUAAGGUGAGCGAGCGAACUCUCGUUAAGGAACUCGGCAAAAUGACCCCGUAACUUCGGGAGAAGGGGUGCUCUUUAGGGUUAACGCCCAGAAGAGCCGCAGUGAAUAGGCCCAAGCGACUGUUUAUCAAAAACACAGGUCUCUGCUAAACCGUAAGGUGAUGUAUAGGGGCUGACGCCUGCCCGGUGCUGGAAGGUUAAGAGGAGUGGUUAGCUUCUGCGAAGCUACGAAUCGAAGCCCCAGUAAACGGCGGCCGUAACUAUAACGGUCCUAAGGUAGCGAAAUUCCUUGUCGGGUAAGUUCCGACCCGCACGAAAGGCGUAACGAUUUGGGCACUGUCUCAACGAGAGACUCGGUGAAAUCAUAGUACCUGUGAAGAUGCAGGUUACCCGCGACAGGACGGAAAGACCCCGUGGAGCUUUACUGUAGCCUGAUAUUGAAAUUCGGCACAGCUUGUACAGGAUAGGUAGGAGCCUUUGAAACGUGAGCGCUAGCUUACGUGGAGGCGCUGGUGGGAUACUACCCUAGCUGUGUUGGCUUUCUAACCCGCACCACUUAUCGUGGUGGGAGACAGUGUCAGGCGGGCAGUUUGACUGGGGCGGUCGCCUCCUAAAAGGUAACGGAGGCGCUCAAAGGUUCCCUCAGAAUGGUUGGAAAUCAUUCAUAGAGUGUAAAGGCAUAAGGGAUCUUGACUGCGAGACCUACAAGUCGAGCAGGGUCGAAAGACGGACUUAGUGAUCCGGUGGUUCCGCAUGGAAGGGCCAUCGCUCAACGGAUAAAAGCUACCCCGGGGAUAACAGGCUUAUCUCCCCCAAGAGUUCACAUCGACGGGGAGGUUUGGCACCUCGAUGUCGGCUCAUCGCAUCCUGGGGCUGUAGUCGGUCCCAAGGGUUGGGCUGUUCGCCCAUUAAAGCGGUACGCGAGCUGGGUUCAGAACGUCGUGAGACAGUUCGGUCCCUAUCCGUCGUGGGCGUAGGAAAUUUGAGAGGAGCUGUCCUUAGUACGAGAGGACCGGGAUGGACAUACCUCUGGUGUACCAGUUGUCGUGCCAACGGCAUAGCUGGGUAGCUAUGUAUGGACGGGAUAAGUGCUGAAAGCAUCUAAGCAUGAAGCCCCCCUCAAGAUGAGAUUUCCCAACUUCGGUUAUAAGAUCCCUCAAAGAUGAUGAGGUUAAUAGGUUCGAGGUGGAAGCAUGGUGACAUGUGGAGCUGACGAAUACUAAUCGAUCGAAGACUUAAUCAA
rnacentral:rRNA from 1 species